rnacentral:rRNA from 1 species
UACGGAAGGGGCUAGCGUUGUUCGGAAUCACUGGGCGUAAAGCGCGCGUAGGCGGCCGGUCAAGUGCGGCGUGAAAGUCCUGGGCUCAACCUGGGGACGGCGCUGCGGACUGUUCGGCUGGAGUCCGGAAGAGGGUGGUGGAAUUCCGAGUGUAGAGGUGAAAUUCGUAGAUAUUCGGAGGAACACCGGUGGCGAAGGCGGCCACCUGGUCCGGUACUGACGCUCAAGUGCGAAAGCGUGGGGAGCAAACAG